GACGAACGCUGGCGGCGUGCUUAACACAUGCAAGUCGAACGGUGAAGCGCCUUCCUUUUUGGUGGGUGUGGAUGAGUGGCGAACGGGUGAGUAACACGUGAGUAACCUGCCCCCUUCUUCUGGAUAACCGCAUGAAAGUGUGGCUAAUACGGGAUAUUCUGGGUCUGUCGCAUGAUGGGUCUGGGGAAGAUAUUGUUUCGGUGGGGGAUGGGCUCGCGGCCUAUCAGCUUGUGGGUGGGGUGAUGGCCUACCAAGGCGGUGACGGGCAGCCGGCCGGAGAGGGUGGGCGGCCAUAGAGGGGCGGAGAGGCGGCGCAGACUGCUAGGGGAGGCAGCGGGGGGGAAUAGUGCACAGGGGGAGCCAGGCUGAUGCCGCGACGCGGGGUGGGGGAUGGAGGCCGGGGGGUUGUGACCCUCUUUCGCGAGUGAAGAGGGGCUGCCUCGUUUGUGGGUGGGUUGACGGUAGCUGGAUAAGAAGCGCCGGCUAACUACGUG
rnacentral:rRNA from 1 species